UGGAUUCUAUUGAACGUAUUUCCAGAAGGACAGUGGUCCUUGUCUGAGAGAUUUUAAGCCUGUCUGUUUGACUGGGUCAUAUCAUGGGGUUAGUGCAAUGCAUCCUUCAUACCCCCAUCACUCAGGAACACCACUCCUUUCGAGGCUGGCUAUUUCAAACUAAUGUCUUACUCUGCCUUUGCUAGAGCAGACAGCAUAGACAAAAGUGUAUGGCCAUACUCCUGACUGGAGGAAACCAUAUGAUGCAUAACAAGGAAGCUUAAUUCGAGGGGAAUGAUAGUCACCCUGUCACCCCAAUGCGUGGCAGGUAUUAUCAUGUCCUAGCAAUUAGGAAGUCUGCUAUGAGUGUCCCCAGGUGCUUGCUGACAUUUGUGGGCUAUUAACUGCAGCUAAAGCUAUAUCAGGUUUUAUAAAUGUUAUGUAUUAAUUAAUGAUUGUUAUUAUUAACAAUCAUUGUACCCAUCUGAGUUAUAAAUUUACAAACUUUCUCAUAGUAGAAGAGCUACCACGCUUUUUAGGCUUUUUAGGCUUUAGAGUUUACACACAAGUGCUGUAACUGUAAGUGAUGGGUCAUGUUAUCAGUUCAUAUUGGCAUUAUAUUUGUAUGAUAAUGGUCUGAUUACACCAAAACCUCAUGAAAACUUGGAUGUAAAGCAAUUAUCAUACACACCUUGUAUUUAAACAUGAUCUAGUAUCCAUAAAUUACAUUUGAUAUGAAUCUUGUGGGGGCGGCACGGUAGUGUAGUGGUUAGUGCUGUCGCCUCACAGCAAGAGGGUCCAAGUUCGAGCCCCGUGGCCGAUGAGGGCCUUUCUGUGUGGAGUUUGCAUGUUCUCCCCGUGUCCGCGUGGGUUUCCUCCGGGUGCUCCGGUUUCCCCCACAGUCCAAAGACAUGCAGGUUAGGUUAACUGGUGACUCUAAAUUGACCAUGGGUGUGAAUGUGAGUGUGAAUGGUUGUCUGUGUCUAUGUGUCAGCCCUGUGAUGACCUGGCGACUUGUCCAGGGUGUACCCCGCCUUUCGCCCGUAGUCAGCUGGGAUAGGCUCCAGCUUGCCUGCGACCCUGUAGAACAGGAUAAAGCGGCUAGAGAUAAUGAUACGAGAUGAGAUGUAUCUUGUGUUUAUCUGUCAUGAAAUAUGUAAACCCGCCCCACCCAAAUUUUCAGCCAGUGAUGGAAUACAAAUGCCUGAAAAAUCCAUCAGAUCUACAGUAACAGAUACAACACUCAAAAUGAUCAAGGGCUUUAAUGACAAUGCACAAGUUGAAACUGAUACAUGUGUAACAAUGUCAAUUUAUGGGGGAAUAUGGGUUGAAUGUAAUGCCACACUCACAACCUGACAUGAGUGUUUUGGACAAAUAUGGGUCGCAGGGUUUGGUAGCUCGCAGUCGUGCCGCAGGGUUGUGGUGAACCCUGGAGAAAGUUUGGGGGAGGAGUACGGCAAAGUACUUGUCAAGUACAGGUUGCACGCCUGACUUCCUCGAGGCAUGGGAAAAAUUGCACCGUUAGCCCGUGAGCCGUGCAUGUCUGACGCACGUGAUCAGUGAGUGUGGAGUGCAUUUGACUUGCAUUUUACCAGUUUCCUGCACUGGGAGUACGGGCUGCCCUUGUGAAGCAUGUGUGAAGCACGUGAUUAGCACGUGACAAUCACUCAUAACUUGCAUGUAACGCAAGCCAGGAGUGGGUAUAAAAGCGUGUCUGCAACAUUCUGCAUCUGUCUUUCGACUGAACACUGGAUAUUUUGUGGGAAAAAUUUGAAAAUUUCAGUUUAAAGUUUAGAAAAUGAGACCCAAGAAGAAGCAAACAAAAGUGAAGUAACCCAGCCUGAAACGGCAGAGGGGGAGAAGGAGGAAGAAUUUGAUGAUGGUAGCAGCACCGGCAAGCCCUGCACGGACAGGGAGAAGUAUGCCUUCAAGCCGGCAGAAGGCACAGCACCCUGCCAGAGGUAUUUUCACAGCUAGCGACGCCAUGCUCAGUGAUAAGGACCUCCCGACACGCCCUCCCACCACUCAGCGGGAGUAGGACAGUAGCUCGGAGUCAAAGUCAAAGUGUGUUUCAGUGCUCAAACUGUUGGGCUAUUUAGUUGGGAUUUUUUUUUACUAUGUAAUAAAAUGUGUUAUUCCCUUCUA